AAAGGGUGAAUUGCAAAGAAGCGUAAACCCACCUGUCGACUGAAAGCGUCUGGCAUCGUGAACGUUGAGGUUAUCCAACAGUAGGUGUUGAUGACAUGUUGUGGCAGGCCAUGACCGACGAUACAUGAGAUUGGAUUUCCAACGAACUGAUUCGCGGUGAUUAUUAUUGAGCAAGUUAGAAGCACCACCGAAGUAAAGUUAUUAUGUAUGCGAAAGAGCAAAGAUACGGUGGAGACUUCUUGCCAUUUGAGAUAAUAGGCUAGACCACCCAAAAGCCUAAACAUGAUCGUUCUUCUUCUUUAAUCACUUUUGAUCGAAAUUUUCUUCCUCUCUCUUUCUCUCUCUCCCUCCCUCUCUCUCUCACUCUCUCUGUCUGUUUGUCUGUCUCUCUCCCUCUAUCGAAAGGAUUCUAACACAUAUAUAAAAUAAUGACAAUACCCUCCCUUGUAACAAACCGUUUAACAAAAUCGUUCGAAAACUUGGAAAUCAAUCCCCCUUUUGCCACUGUGUCUGUCUAGUUCUUUCUUCUCGGAAAGCGAACAACAAACGACGAUCCUUUUUCCCUCUUCUUUUCUCUCUUCCUCCCCCUCCCUUUUACCAUUCGUUGCCCUUCACCACGCUCGAGCGCGUCGUCCUCUUCUUCUUCUUCUUCUUCUUCUUCUUCUUCUUCUCUCUUUCUCUAUUUCUUCUCGCUCGACAAGGAGACAAGACCUCGGUCACGAAUGACGUCUAUGACGGAGACAACGACGAAGAGAAGACGAUGAUGAAACGAUAGAGGUCAGCGAACGUAAAGCUAAGCAAAAGAAGAGAGAGAAAAAGAGAGAGAGAGAGAGAGAGACAGAGAGAGAAAGAGAGAGAAAAAGAGAUAUAAAGCCUAAGCUACUAGCAACCACCACUCGUGAACGCACAACCGACCGCGUCGUCACGAAUCGGGACUCGUUUGCCCGUACCGAUGCAUUUUUCGAACACGUGCUGCCCUGUGUACGGCGCGAGCCGGAUAAAACCGAGUUUAACCGAGAAUGUCCGAAUCAAAGUUUCUGGCGCGCGAACGACAGACUGUAUUCUCUCUCUCUCUCUCUCUCUCUCUCUUUUUUUUUCGCUUCUCUCUCUUUUCUUCUGACUAAUGCGACGAACGUGCAACACAUUCGAACCUUUCUCUUUCUAUUUUUCUCUCCCUUAUUUUAAAAAAACGUAAACUCUACGAACGUUAUUUUUUCAAUUUUAUUAUUAUUAUUUUUGUUCUAUUUUUGUCUUUUUUUUUUUUUUUUUAAAUUUACCAUCAACCAAGUUUUUCUUCGUCUCUCUAUCCUCGAAAAAUCUUUUAUAAUAAAUCGUAUAAUAUAUAUUUAUAUAUCGGUUAUUUAUAUAUCGUUUGAGUCGUUUAAAAAGUAUAGAAGUAAUACGAAGUUGUGUAACUACCGAUUCGUUACCUAUCCUUUACUGCUCCUCCCUCUCGUCGUAUUUAUCCCUCUUUUCCUCCCUUUCUACGUCCAGACUAUCCCCCUCUUCUUUCUCUCUCUCUCUCUCUCUCUCUCUCUCUUUCUCCUUCUCCAUAGGUUUACCCUCACGCUCUUUCCUUCUCUAUAUCCCCCAUUCUCCUUUCUCUUUCUCUCUCUCUCUCUCUCUCUCUCUCUCUCUCUUUUUCUUUCACUCGCCGCGAUCGCGCCGUGAAUCGAGUUUUAUUCCUUUGAAAGCCGCCGCCGCCGACAAGAUAUGUAACAUAAACGUAAAGAAAUCGUCCUGGUUCUCUUCUGUUAAAAGUUUCUUUUUUUUUAAUUCUUAUUUUCUUUUUCUUUCGUAAAUACGUGUCCGUAAAUACGCACGUAGUUUAACGCGCGUACCAGUACUCUCGAACGGCGACUGGCGAGGAACACACUGCGAUCGUUUGUUGUUUCUCGUCGUAACGGGGGGAGGGGAGAAAAUCGGUAGCGCAAGAGGGGCUCGACUGCGGAUGCCGGGGGCUCGUCGUACUUUUACAGGAGAGGGAACACGUCCAAGAGAGAAAAAGAGAGGGGAAGGGCACGAAACGAAGAGGGGGACCAGAUGUGAUCUCUCCCACCUCGUCUACAUAUUUUUUAACUACAUACAAUACGCUACGCAAACGCAAGGCGAGUUCCUGCCUACCUACGUGGCUGCAUAUGCUAAUGUUCCCGCGUCCUCUUCACCGUACCAGAAGCAGUUCACGGACCAGAUGUGCAGCAUGAUGCAACAGUUGUAACUUCUGCUUCAGAAAAGCAACGCGAUAUUGUAUGCUUUUCGUCGACCGUCUAUGUAUCUCGACGAUUACGAUAUCUGUCUUCCUCUACUCUGCAAGGACAAUUUCAAAUAUGGAUUUGCUUAGUAAAAAUGUAAUUUAAAGGGGGAGAAAAAAAAAAAAAAGGAAGAAAAGAAAAGAAAAACCAACAUAAAAUAUUUAUAAACUUUAAAAAUCAAAAGGAUCUUUCGUAAUGAAACAGUUUACAUUAUGGUUUUGCGAUAGACGAUCUAUCGUUGUACGCUUUUCGAUCUUUCUAUUUUAUAAAGUGACGGCACCGUCAUCGUAACUUCGAUGCUGUCUACAUACAUAAUUGCAAAAAAACAAGCUUACGAAGUAACGCGAUCUAUAACGUAUGUAAGAAUAUAUCUUAAUUAAGAAAGUAUAAUUCUAUUAAAAGAUACAUAUAUUAAUCAUAUAUACGAUUUUCAAAGAUUCAAAAAUCAUUAGAUACAUAGUAAAAUAGAAUUAUUUUAAAAACGAUAAUUAUUUUUAAACUAUGCUAUCUCUUUUCGUUCAUGAUGAACAGUAAAAUACAUAUGCACCUCUAAAGUAACCCUGUCAUUUGAUACUCUAUGCGAAUCUAUAUCCUCGGUAUCUAUUUAUAAACGCACUAAAGAACGAUAUAUCAAAGUCGAUGGACGAACCACAGCUCAACAACGUCCUACGCUCCCCUACUGUGAAAACUGCUCACACUAGCUCUCUCACUCUCUCACUCUCUCACUCUCUCACUCUCUCUCUCUCUCUCUUUCUCUCUCUCUCUCUCUUUCUAUAUAUCUCUAUCUCUAUCUCUAUCUCUCGUUUGUUCGCUCGCUUGCUCGUGUGUUUCUAUAUUCUACGUCCUUAGACACAAUUAUCUUAAUUAGAGUCCGUCUAUGGCCAAUGACAAUGAGCCGGUUGUGACGUACCGAUUCUACCGAAAAAUUGCUCUUUCCUCAAAUGUAUUACAUAUGUCCAUAGAUUUUUGUCUAUCUAGAUGAGUUUUGAAAUUUAUUACAUAGUCCUUUCAACGUAAGGGACAUUGAUCAUUUCAUCACCUACGAGUGUUAAUUAUUAUCGUGCAUUAAAAAAAGCGACGGUAAAACUAUUGACAUGGAUAAUUUUCAACUGUUAUUAUUCUCAGAAUUUAUGUGGUAAUCAUUAACUAUGAUUCUCGUGAAAGCGUUGAUUGAUUUCUAACAUGAUAUCACUUCGUUGCUCGUUCUCUUUAUGAGUGUGUUUCUCAUUGAUUACCUACGUGUUUAGAGAUCACUCGAAGGAAGCAUUACAAUGAUGAGUUUUCAUUGUAAGUAUGUACUAUAAGAGUCACAUGUAAUAAUAACAUCCUGUUGUCAACAUAAUUUUUUUUUUCUAUCAUGUAUAAAUAUUACUAUAAAUAUCAAAAAGACGUAAAUAAAUGAAAUCGAAAGUUAUCUAAAAUUUUACAAGCUAUGUAAGUUGUAUAUUAUAAAUCAUCACUCGAAUCAUGAUCAUAAGAUGUUCCAUAGCGUUGGAGAACACGCGUGCGCACUGAUCUUUGGAAUGUACUUGUUAGACCCGGUCAAACCGGUUCGUUGGACGUUACACGUUGAGAACCUCUGCGGGUCAAUCGUGUCAAUUGUGACGAAUGUAUGUCGAGUCUGCGGAUGGUUCUUCUCUUUGGAUGCUUUAGAAAUAAUCUACGAUCACAUAUUCAAUAAUAUAUCAUAUAUUUAUAUAUAUAUAUGUGUGUGUGUGUGUGUGUGUGUGUGUGUGUGUGUGUGUGUAUAAAUAAUGCAUAUUUUUUAAUUAACAAAUUAUAAUUUACUUGACUCGACCUUGAGAAUAUUGCAUUAAGUAACAAAAUAUAAUCGCAAAGGAGACUCAUUACAUAGACGACUUCCUAUAAGAUUUGCAUAAUGUUUAUAGAUUUAUGGAAAUCGUAUGUGUAUAUGUAUAUGUAUAAUACAUGUGAUAAUGAAGUGACGUUACUGUCCGAAUGAAUCGCUGACGGAGAUACACUCAAAGAAGAGCAAUACAUUUGGCGUCCUACUUACAACAUGAAAUAAUUAACGUAGUAGUAAAGUUUACGAGACAUGCCUAAACAACUUCUAUCCCUCAUUGUCAAUAUGUCAACAGAAAAUAGAAAUCGUUGAUGAAUUAAUGAUUUAUAGCUCGUAAAAAUAUGAACAUUGAACAUUGAACAAAAAAAGUUAAAAUCACAAAGUAUAUAAGUAUAAAAGUUUAGUAGUAAAAAAAAAAGCGAAUUUUGUUUCGAGUUGAUCGACUCCAUUGGUUUAACGUUCCUCUCUUGUACAAGUGGAAUCUCGCGAAAGCGUAUAGUAUAGUUUCGAAGAUAAAUUUUCAAACCGGUUUCACUCUAUAAGCACGGGCCAAACUCGUUGAAGAAGAAGGAAUUUGAAAUCAUGCGACAAACACAUAGUAGGAAAUACAGUAUAUAAACAUCUAUAUAAAUAUAUGAAUAUAUAUGUAUGUGUAUUUGAAGAUCAAACGAUCCUUCUUCUCUUACUUUUUUUUUUCUUUUUUUCUUUUUUUUUUCUACCAUGAUCAUUCUCGAUCAUCGACGAACGAAGCCAUUUUUUUAUUCGCAGAAGAACCACAAGAUACACAUCCUGAUGUCUCGCUCAGAUAUAUCCUACCAAUCGAUGUUCACUAAGUCUCCUCACGAACUUUAUUCACGGACAAGUGACAUUAGAAUCUAUAUAUAUAUAUAUAUACACCUUCAAUAUUUCAUCAAGAAAUAGCUAUUAUUUUGAGACUUUCUAUUCUUAAAAGCAUUCGAAAGAAUAAUUCAUCAAGGAGACAUUGUUCUUUUCGUAAUAUCAAAAACUCCUUUAAAAACAUCCAGACGAGCAAUUUCUGUUGUUUCGAAUAGGGCGCUACGUAUGAACAUUGGUAUGCACAGUGAGUACAUAUACGAGCUGUUAGAAUCACAAAGGAAGCUGGAUUGGAACAAAGAAAGAAAGGAGAACCGAUCAGAGACAGAAGGAUCGUUCAGAAAGCCAUCUUACACGAGCUUGGACAAAUCAAGAAUAAUAAGUUUACAAGUUCGUCGACUUAUCUUUUGUUGAACACGAAUGUUUUUUCUUUUUCUUUUUUUUUUCUUUUUCUUUUCUUUUCUUCAAUUUUUUUCUUCUUUUUUCAUGCAAAUUACUUCGAAGGAAUUCCAAUGGAAUUUUAGAAGAACGCAUUCGAUUUGGAAAGAAAAAAAAUGAGAGAGAGAGAGAGAGAGAGAAAGAGGAGAGAGGGUAAGAGAGAUACGAUUUUCGAAAGUUAGUCUGAUGAGAGCUGAGAGCAAUGUCAACCGCCCACGCAGAAAAGACUAAGGGCUCUAAAGGAGGAGACUAACUCAAACGAGAAAGCAUCCAGCUGCUCUCCAGACUUCUCUAGCAUCUCUACGAGAGUUCUGCUUUUAUAGCCUCAACUAAAGCCGGUCUUUGUUCGAGGGACCACCGAGAUACGGCCCACGCGGGCCUUUCAUAUGAAUAAUACCUGAACUCGUGAGACCCAACCAUGCCGAGUCAAGGGGCUGAGUUACAGUUAUAUAUGUGUCCUAUGUACAUAUAUAUAUAUAUAUUUAAGUAUAUAACGCAACCCAGAGACUCGUAGACUCUUGGAAAUAUUCUCUCGAUAAUAUUGAAAUUUUUCCCCUACAAUUCCAAUUUACUCUCUCGAUAAAUCACAAUUUUAAUUAAGUGUUCGUUCCUACCGAUACUUCAUUCGUUAUCAAGGAUAAUUAAUCGUUGUUGAUUCGUCGAUAGAUUUAUCGUAGCUUUCUAUAUGAACGCUGUCAAUCAGAGGAACUUUAUCCUUUCUUUUAUUCGUGACUAAUAACGCUAAAAUUGAAAUUGAUUUCCAAGUGAAAUUCCAUACUUUCUACGUAUAGAUUAGAUAUAAUUAGCUUUACUGACCCUUAGAUAUCUCUUAUUACGUGACUGGAAAAGGAUUUCAUUCUUUUUAGAUCUUCGAAGAAUGAUUCCACUGUCUGAUUCACAGUUUCUUUUCUGAAUGCAUACGCAGAUACAUACACAGGCACGUACGCGCAUAUAAAUUUUUUGUAACGUUUAUUUUCAAGCGUAAUUUAAUUAUUGCUAAUUAAAAAUUAUUCUCAUUUAUUUCGAAAAUAUUUAUUCAGGAUUUAUCGUAAUUAAUCGUAUUUUAAUUUAUCGUAGUAUUAGAACGUACAUAAGUGACGCAUUUAACGUCAGUCAAUUACUUUCGAAUUUAUAGGUCACCAUGUAUAAUGUCUAUAUCAACGAUCUUAACGAUUUAACGAUCUUAACUAUAGAGAGACUCGCUUAAGGAGUCAACGCAACGUAUACUUACCUGCUACGCAUAUGCGUACGUUCUUGUAUUUUAAAUGUCGUCAAGUUAACGCACGUACAAAAAGAAUGUCUUUGACUGUGUAAGAGCAUUGACACGCAAAUAGCGAUUUAAGCUUUCUUCUUGACACUGUCACGCGAUACAACGUUUUAAUCUGGCCACGUUCGUGAACAUGGAAAACAAACUUACGUGUUUCGAGUAAUAGUUUGAAAUGGAACGAAUAGUUAAAAAAAAAAGAAAAAAGGUUCUCAAAUUACUUUACAAACAUCAACUGAUAUUAUAUAUUUGUAUAUUUUUUUUUUCUUUUCUUUAUACAUAACACUGCAAUAUCUUCGCUGAGAUCGUUUUAGAAGGUAUCAGAGAGAACAAAAAAUAGAUUAUAAAAAUAAAAAAAAUACUUCGUCGUAAGAUACGCCUAAGAAGAUUUUAACGAAGUAAGACCGUAUGAAUGGGGGCUUAAGGCAGCUGGAAGAAGAUUGGAGAUCAUGAUCGAGUCACAACAAAUAAGCUCGUUAAUCUAGUCUUCCCUCGUGAAAUAAACUGAGCAAGGAGAGGAUUUUUUUUUUUCAUUUAGCGAUAUGGACUCGUUGAAAGUCUAAUUUUAAGGACAACUCUGCUAAUCAUCGAAGCGAACGUUCUUUUUCGUUUGUUUUUUUAUUUCUUUUUUCUUUUUUCUUUUUUCUUUUCUUUUUUCUUUUUUUAUUUCGCGAGCUAGCUACGAAGAAAAGAUUAAAAGAAGGCAGCUCAAAGCCGACUGGUUCUCAUAAAAAUCGGUCCAUCGUUUCUUUCGUUGGUACGUAAGUACAAUGGAAGUGAUAAAUAGAAAAGGGCUCAUUUCGAGAGUCGAAAGAGGGAACUCGAAGGACCAUAGAUGGCUGUUAGAAAAGGGUUCGGCUCUUUUGUUUUCUUCCCAUUCGAUUCGCAUUCUUAAGUUCCGUUUUUCGCUGCGUCAACCCCUCUCAACAGGCAAGCCAUUGUGUUAAGAACACCACUUUCAGAACUGGCACUAAAUGAACACGUUUCUUCGUAACAUGCACAUCCCGUUUAAUAUCUUUCCCAUGUUUUUCUUUUUUUUUCUUCUUCUUUCUUUCAUUUUUUAUUUAUCCCACAGAAAAAAAAAACGAAUGCGUACGUGCAAUACUUGAACAAAAUUAUUCUACGUCGUCGAGAAAAAUUUUCCCUUUUAUAUAAUAUUUUCACUAAAAAUAUUUGGUCUCUUCGCGAUAUAUCAUUCGUUAUAACAAUAUAUAUGUAUGGCACUUUCGAAAUUAAAAAUAUAUAGUCUUAUCACUUGGCACAUCCCAGCGAUAAUUAAAUCAUUUACAUACUUCGAUUCGAUCGAAUAAUUAUGAAGAAGUCUCAAUAUCCAAAGUCUUCGAUUUUUCCUGCAAUGGAUAUUCUUCGACGUCUAAGUAAGUCGUCUUAUAGUAUUGUCCUUGAUUUAUGUUCUCGAGAUCCUGAGCUAAUCUUUCUAAGAGAUCUUUGAACACAUAAUUGUCUAAAUUUUUGGCGAUAUAAUACAAAAAAAGCCAAUCGCCAAAAUGAUAUUCCCGAGUAACUCUAACUACAUUCCAAGGAUUAUAUUUUCCAGGACAGGCCAUAGAGAAAAGAAUUUUGUUAAACGCCUCACUUCUAAAGAAAUAAAAUAUAAUUGAAGAUCGUAAAAAAUUAUUUUUAUAAAAAAAAUUAAAAAAUAAUUACCAACCUAGCAUGUAAUACCAUCGUUAUCAAUCUCCAAAUAAGCCCAAGCAAAGUGAUGAAGGAUAGAAUAAUGAACCAGUACCACAGGAAUGUAUAGAUCUUCUCAUUAAUGAUAUUCAAUGCCAUCACGCAAAGAGCAUCGUGAGUUUGUAUCGUACCCGAAGAACCAUAUUUAUGGAAUGUACACUUUGUUACCUAUGAAUCAUUAAAACACGUAGAAAAUAUCUAAAUGAAAAAAGAUAAAGAAAGUAUGAUUCAUACCUUGGGAAAGACAAUAUCGAGUGGCUCCAUUCUUCCACUGUAGCUUUUGUCUCCAAUAAUUUUACCAAGAUUCAUAAAGGCUCCACCAAGGAACCAAUUGGUCAAAUAAAUUUGCGUUACAACAUUAAUGAAAUUUAAUAUCUCACAAAAAGUGAGAUAAUAAGACCAAGUUCGAUUGAUGUAAAUACGUUCGAUAAAUGCCUUUCGAAUUUUUUGUAUCUUUUGAUCAACAUCAUCUUUCGAUGGCACUUGGUAUUUAUCGUUGACCUUCAUUGCCGUUUCAUGCAAACCCAAGCAAGCCACAUGUAAACCCGAGACUAAAUUCUUCAAACGACCACCUAAACACACACACACACACAUCUUCAAUAUAUUACUAAGGAUAUAGAUAUCUUGACAAUUCUGUUUAAGUCUUUAAAUUUCAACGCUUCUGUUAAUUCAGAGAAAUCGAGCGAGGUAACAAUCGUCAAACUGAUAGUAUUAUUCAUCUUCAAAUCAUUUUUUAAAGAAAUAUUGUAAACUAUGAUUAUAAAUGAUAUCAGCUGAAUAAUUGUCAUGAAAUCUUUCACAUUUUCAUAAAUUUCAUAUAAUCGCAGUAGUUUUUUUUAUACAAUCGAAUUACAUUAUUAAGCGUUAAUCUAUUACCAAUAUAAUGUUCUUGUAUCGUAAUAAAAUAUAUUUUAUAUCAAAUUCAUACAAGACGAUAUUAAUAACUUACCUUCUGUCUUUCGCCAUAUGUAAUGUGGUAGAUAAAAGAGAAGAGCUUGGAAAAAUAAAACAAAAGGUACCCAUUGAUAAUACGCAUGAUGAACAGUCUCAUCAUUUUUCCCAAUUGGUCCAACUCCAGGAUGCGGAAUUUCUCCUUCAUUCACGUACGAUGCAUUCAUAUGCUUCACCUACGAGUAAAUUCGUUGCAUCGAUAAGGAACGUACGUAAUUGCUCGUGUAACAGAUUACAAGACUUUCGUUUUCACGGGACGCUCGGAUAUGAAAGGAAUCGUCAUUCCACGCAUAACUAAAUAUAAACGUUCUUAAGACUUACCACGGUGAAAGUCGACGUAAAGAAGCAAUAGGUUUCUAUAACAUGCGGAUUUAUCGAUGAAUCGGCUAUGCAUCUGUUUCAAAAAAAAAAAAAAAAAAAAAAAAAAAAAUUUACACAUGUGUUCAAUG